GCCUGAGUGGCUCAGUCAGUUGAGCGUCUGACUUCAGCUCAGGUCAUGGUCUCACAGUUUGUGAGUUUGAGCCCCGCGUCGGGCU
rnacentral:tRNA from 1 species